CUUCUGUUUGCCCACUGGGGGAGCUUGCGCCCUACUAUUUUUCUGUUGGCGAUCCACAGUUUCCUUAACAGCAGAUCCACUAGCAGAACAGCUUCAGUGACUCUGCCCUCAAGUUGAGUGUGCUGCCUGUGAGGCACAGGCAUGUGGCCACUACAGAAGCAUGGUCUGAGAAAGGGAAGGCUGUCUGCACCUGCUGUGUCCAGCCAGGCUCUGAGUCAUGCGGAUCUACUUUGAUGAACUAGGAAGGAGAAGACAUUAGCUUGAAAGGAGCCACUAUUAAAGCAACAUUAAUUCUGCUAAAAUUGAAGCAAGAACUAACAUCAAAUUUAUGUUGAAGCUUGGGUGGAAGAAUGAUGAAAUCAUUGAUGCUUUUAAGAAAUGCUUAUGGGGAAAAUGGUCCCAAAGAAAUCAGCAGUUUACAAAAAAAUAACUUGCUUGAAAAAGGGAUGAGACAUGAAACCCAUAGCAGCAAACCACCCACAUCAAUUUGCGAGGAAAAAAACUCAUCUUUUUCAUACCCUUAUUGAAGAAGACCAAUGAUUGGCAGCAUAGACAAUAGGCAAUACUAUAGACAUCACAGUUAGUUCAGCUUACACAAUUCUGUUGGCAAAAAAAUUAAAUUGGGCAAACUUUCUACUUGAUGGGUGCCAAAACCAUUGCACCAAAUUAGUUGCAGGGAAAAGCAAAGCUUUCAAUUGAAAUUUUAAACAAGUAGGAUCAGGAUCCUAAAGCAUGUCUGUAGGAUCAAGAUCCUAAAGCAUUUCUUUAGGAUCAAAAAUUAAAUUCAAAAAUUGUAACAGGAGAUAAAACAUGGCUUUACCAGUACAAUCCUGAAGACAAAGCACAAUCAAAGCAAUGGCUACUAAGAGGUGGAAAUGGUCCAGUCAAAGCAAAAGCAGACCAGGCAAGAGCAAAGGUUAUGACAACAGUUUUGAGGAUAUGCAAGGCAUUUUGCUUGUUGACAUUCUAGAGGAGCAAAGAACAAUAACAUCUGCAUAUUAUAAGAGUAUUUUGACAAAGUUAGCCAAAGCUUUAGCAGAAAAAUUCCCAGUAAACCUUUACCAGAGUCCUUCUCCACCAUGACAAUGCUCCUGCUCAUUCCUCUCGCCAAAAAAGGGCAAGUUUGAGAGAGUUUCAACGGGAAAUCAUUAGGCAUCCACCUUACAGUACUAUUUGGCUCCUUGUAACUUCUUUUUGUUUCCUAAUAUUAAAAAGUUACUAAAG
rnacentral:lncRNA from 1 species